ACACAUGCAAGUCGAGCGGAAACGACACUAACAAUCCUUCGGGUGCGUUAAUGGGCGUCGAGCGGCGGACGGGUGAGUAAUGCCUAGGAAAUUGCCUUGAUGUGGGGGAUAACCAUUGGAAACGAUGGCUAAUACCGCAUGAUGCCUACGGGCCAAAGAGGGGGACCUUCGGGCCUCUCGCGUCAAGAUAUGCCUAGGUGGGAUUAGCUAGUUGGUGAGGUAAUGGCUCACCAAGGCGACGAUCCCUAGCUGGUCUGAGAGGAUGAUCAGCCACACUGGAACUGAGACACGGUCCAGACUCCUACGGGAGGCAGCAGUGGGGAAUAUUGCACAAUGGGCGAAAGCCUGAUGCAGCCAUGCCGCGUGUAUGAAGAAGGCCUUCGGGUUGUAAAGUACUUUCAGUUGUGAGGAAGGGUGUGUAGUUAAUAGCUGCGCAUCUUGACGUUAGCAACAGAAGAAGCACCGGCUAACUCCGUGCCAGCAGCCGCGGUAAUACGGAGGGUGCGAGCGUUAAUCGGAAUUACUGGGCGUAAAGCGCAUGCAGGUGGUUCAUUAAGUCAGAUGUGAAAGCCCGGGGCUCAACCUCGGAACUGCAUUUGAAACUGGUGAACUAGAGUACUGUAGAGGGGGGUAGAAUUUCAGGUGUAGCGGUGAAAUGCGUAGAGAUCUGAAGGAAUACCAGUGGCGAAGGCGGCCCCCUGGACAGAUACUGACACUCAGAUGCGAAAGCGUGGGGAGCAAACAGGAU
rnacentral:rRNA from 3 species